GACGAACGCUGGCGGCGUGCCUAAUACAUGCAAGUAGAACGCUGAAGGAGGAGCUUGCUUCUCUGGAUGAGUUGCGAACGGGUGAGUAACGCGUAGGUAACCUGCCUGGUAGCGGGGGAUAACUAUUGGAAACGAUAGCUAAUACCGCAUAAGAGUAGAUGUUGCAUGACAUUUGCUUAAAAGGUGCAAUUGCAUCACUACCAGAUGGACCUGCGUUGUAUUAGCUAGUUGGUGGGGUAACGGCUUACCAAGGCGACGAUACAUAGCCGACCGGAGAGGGUGAUCGGCCAAACUGGGACUGAGACACGGCCCAGACGCCUACGGGAGGCAGCAGUAGGGAAUCUUCGGCAAUGGACGGAAGUCUGACCGAGAAACGCCGCGUGAGUGAAGAAGGUUGUCGGAUCGUAAAGCUCUGUUGUAAGGGAAGAAAGAGUGUGAGAGUGGAAAGUUCACACUGUGACGGUAUCUUACCAGAAAGGGACGGCUAACUACGUG
rnacentral:rRNA from 1 species